UCCCUGAUAGCUCAGUUGCUAAAGAAUUUGCCUGCAAUGCAGGAGACCCUGGUUCAAUUCCUGGGUAGGGAA
rnacentral:tRNA from 1 species